GGAUGGCGACCGGCGCACGGGUGAGUAACACGUAUCCAACCUGCCGCUUACUCGGGGAUAGCCUUUCGAAAGAAAGAUUAAUACCCGAUGGUAUAAAGAGUUCGCAUGUUCUCUUUAUUAAAGAAUUUCGGUAAGCGAUGGGGAUGCGUUCCAUUAGAUAGUUGGCGGGGUAACGGCCCACCAAGUCUACGAUGGAUAGGGGUUCUGAGAGGAAGGUCCCCCACAUUGGAACUGAGACACGGUCCAAACUCCUACGGGAGGCAGCAGUGAGGAAUAUUGGUCAAUGGACGAGAGUCUGAACCAGCCAAAGUAGCGUGAAGGAUGACUGCCCUAUGGGUUGUAAACUUCUUUUAUAAGGGAAUAAAGUGAGGGACGUGUCCCUUUUUGUAUGUACCUUAUGAAUAAGGAUCGGCUAACUCCGUGCCAGCCGCGGC
rnacentral:rRNA from 1 species